rnacentral:lncRNA from 1 species
UGAGGGACAUGAUCAUUGUGUUGCAUUCUAUAAGAAUGUUGUCUGAUUGGCAUUCAUUUCUAGAUGAAAUAUACUCUAAAAGGCACAAAGGGGGUGCCAUCCUAAACCCUAAAAUUUACUGAUCAAGAGUGACUGAAAAUUGUUGGAUGGAAUCAGUCUCUCUCAUCCCUUUGAAUUUGUUAUACAUGACUAGACCUGUCCAUGGGUCAGGGCCGCCUGGCUAGAAGGCCCGCCCGAGAAGUGAGAGGGUUUGGGUAAAAAUAUAGGCCCGAAAAAUGGGUUUAGGAAAAAAGGGGCCCAUUUAGAAAAUGGGCCGGGCCUUGGGUAAGGUUUUUUGGGCCUGAACCCGGCCCAAAUAUGCCCCAAAAAAAAAGCUGUUUUUUCUUUUUUACUGUUUUCUUGCUAUUUUCUUAUUGUUUCUUUUCACUAUUUUGCUACCUUUCACUAUUAUGUUGCUACUGUUUUGUUGUUAUUGUUUGGAUAUUGUAUAACUCUUGUUUUAUUGUUAAUUUUGUUACUAUUUUAGAGGCAUUUGCUUGUUAAGUAUACAUAUUUUUUUAAAAUUUUUUUUCAAUUUGUUGGAAUUUGUUGGGAAACAUUUAUUUUAAUGUUUUUAGUAUUUUUGAUGUAUUAUAUUUUUAAAAAAGAUAAUAUAAAAAAAUUAAUAUGGGCGGAACGGUCUUGGGCAAAAUUUUAGGCCCAUUUUUUUGGCAGGGUCUAACUUUUGGUUGGGCCCGGCCCAUGGACACCUCUAUACAUGACUGCGUUCCUUUUC